ACGUAGGAGGCAAACGUUAUCCGGAUUUACUGGGCGUAAAGCGCGUGUAGGUGGUUCUGUAAGUCGGGCGUGAAAGCUCCUGGCUCAACUGGGAGAGGCCGUUCUAAACUGCAGAGCUAGAGGAUGGUCGCGGGAGGUGGACUACCGGGUUGAGCGGUGGAAUGCGCAGAUAUCCGGAGGAGCUCCUGUGGCGAAAGUGGUUUUUUGGACCAUACCUGACACUCAGACGCGAAAGGUAGGGUAGCAAACGG
rnacentral:rRNA from 1 species